AUUGAACGCUGGCGGCAUGCCUUACACAUGCAAGUCGAACGGCAGCAUGAUCUAGCUUGCUAGAUUGAUGGCGAGUGGCGAACGGGUGAGUAAUACAUCGGAACGUGCCCUGUAGUGGGGGAUAACUAGUCGAAAGAUUAGCUAAUACCGCAUACGACCUGAGGGUGAAAGUGGGGGACCGCAAGGCCUCAUGCUAUAGGAGCGGCCGAUGUCUGAUUAGCUAGUUGGCGAGGUAAAGGCUCACCAAGGCGACGAUCAGUAGCUGGUCUGAGAGGACGAUCAGCCACACUGGACUGAGACACGGCCCAGACUCCUACGGGAGGCAGCAGUGGGGAAUUUUGGACAAUGGGCGAAAGCCUGAUCCAGCAAUGCCGCGUGUGUGAAGAAGGCCUUCGGGUUGUAAAGCACUUUUGUCCGGAAAGAAAUGGCUCUGGUUAAUACCUGGGGUCGAUGACGGUACCGGAAGAAUAAGGACCGGCUAACUACGUG
rnacentral:rRNA from 1 species